ACUACGGAUUUGAAGAUCUUGGAAGCGUAUUUUCGAGAGUGGAGAUUCAUACCGAGUGCCAGAAAAACAGAAGUGUCCUGCUUUCACCUAAGCAACCACCUCGCUAAACACGAGCCAACUGUCACUCUAGGUGGUGAAAGGUUACCAUACAAUCCUUUCCCAUCAUACCUUGGUAUUACUUUAGAUAGGACUCUAAGCUAUAAAGAACACCUUUCCAAGCUCUCGCUUAAAAUAUCGACCCGGAACAACAUACUGCACAAGUUAUCUGGCACCUCAUCCCUCCCUCCCUCUCCGUUCAACGGCUCUGGGGCUCGUAUAUCCCACUGCAGAGUACUGUGCUCCAAUUUGGCUACAAAGUGCACAAUUCCAUGCUCAAUGUCACCAUGAGAUGCAUUACUGGGACAGUGAAAUCUACACCUUGCCACUGGCUUCCUGCGCUCAGUCGAAUCCCACCUCCACAUUUGAGAAGGAAACAGGCGCUGCUAAGAGAG